GGCGCCGACACGCUGGCGGCUGCUUACACACUGCAGUCGAACGCUAUUUCAUAGUAGUGGCGCACGGGUGAGUAACGACGUGGGAAUCUGCCCUUCUGCCUGGGAUAACAGCUGGAAACGGCUGCUAAUACCGGAUACGCCCUUCGGGGGAAAAGGUCCGCCGCAGAAGGAGGGAGCCCGCCUCUGAUUAGCUUGUUGGUAGGGUAAUGGCCUACCAAGGCGACGAUCAGUAGCUGGUCUGAGAGGAUGAUCAGCCACACUGGGACUGAGACACGGGCCAGACUCCUACGGGAAGCAGCAGUGGGGAAUAUUGGACAAUGGGGGCAACCCUGAUCCAUGCAAUGCCGCGUGUGUGAUGAAGGGCUUAGGGUUGCUAAAGCACUUUCACUGGGUGAAGAUGACUGACGCGUAACCAGGAGAAGAAGCCCCGCGCUAACUUCGCUGCCAGACAACCGCGGUAAUACGAAGGGGGGCGGAGCGUUGUUCGCGAAUUACUGUGGCGUAAAGGGAGCGCAUGCGGUUCAUUAAAGUUAUGGCCGUGAAAGCCCCGGGGCUCAAAACUGGGAACUGCGCCUUAAUACUGAUGAACUAGAAAACAGGAGAGGGUAGUGGAAUUUCCAGUGUAAAGGUGAAAUUCGUAGAUAUUGGAAAGAACACCGGUGGCGAAAGGCGGGUACUGGCCUUGAUUUGACGCUCAGGGUCGAAAGCGUGGGGGAGCAACAGGGAUUGAUACCCUGGGAAGGCCAGCCGUAAAACAAUGACAG
rnacentral:rRNA from 1 species